GUAUAUAUAGAAUCAAUAUGAUCGAAAAUUUAAUCUUAGAUUUUUAUUUUUAUGAAAUGGUUUCUUUAUUAUGUUGCUCUUCGUAGAGGUGAUACAGCUCCAGGAAGUAGAGUUGCAUAUUAAAUGACAGUUGGAGGCUCUAAUCAGACUUUCGGAGGCAAUUGCCGCUUUGGUCGGAGCAUCGGCGGAAACCCUAACACGACUCUGCUUAUUCUCCCGCCUAAAAGUGCAUAACACACAUUCAUUCAUAUCCUUCCCAAUCAACGAUUCACUUCCACAGUUGAGCAAAAAAAGUAAAAAAACUUGAGGAAGGCAGUAGCUCGCCAACAAGAUGGAUUCAUAUUUCACCGACGAGAAAGCAGCGAAGGUCGAGAAUAUCUUCUUGGAGUUUCUUAAGAGUUUUAGGUUAGAUGCGAAUUCGAGGGAACCUUUGUAUGAAUCGGAAAUCGAAGCAAUGAAUGAGACCAAACGAGUCCAACACAAUGUUCAUCGAUUUCUCUCAUGUUAUGCGGUUCAACGAUGUUCUGCAGAAAGCCAUUUCUAAUGAAUAUUUGAGGUUUGAGUCUCACCUGAAGAACGCAUGUAAGAGGUACCUCUUCUUCAAGGGGGAAGGAGCUGGCGUGGUAGCGGUACAUCAUACACGCACCUUGUUUUCCGCACCAUGAGUCAUUCUGGGAUUUUGUACUCUGAUAGUUGAUUGUUUUCAUGUUUCGGUUUUCAGAUACGAUGUAUGUUAUGAAAUGGUUUGACCAGAUAGUGUUUUAAUUACAAUCGUUUUCUAAAGUAUUGAUUUAAAAAGAAAAUUUUUGGAAGUGAAAUUUGGGUCGUUACAGAUUGCCUUGACUUCACCAAGUCCCUUCUACCACUACUGCUCACUGCUCUAAUCUCAUCCUAGGCUUACCCUAGGGUAACUCUCCAUCCUACUCUCCGUCCUCAGCUGCAUAAGAAA